UGAUCUCUAUAAAAGGUAACGCCUGCCCAGUGACUGCUCGUUAAACGGCCGCGGUACUCUGACCGUGCAAAGGUAGCGUAAUCACUUGUCUUUUAAAUAAAGACUAGUAUGAAUGGCAUCACGAGAACUAAUCUGUCUCCCUCCCCCAAUCAGUGAAACUGAUCUCCCCGUGCAGAAGCGGGGAUAAUAUCAUAAGACGAGAAGACCCUGUGGAGCUUCAAAUCAAAAAUCAACUGCUAUACUUCACCCAGAAAGGACACACCGCUAUGGAUUUGAUCUAGAUUUUUAGCUGGGGCGGCUGUGGAGAAAAAAGCAUCCUCCACGAAGACCUAUUCCAAGGGCUACUGCCCUAAGUAAUAAUAAAUUAGUUUAAUUGACCCAAUUUUUGAUCAACGAACCA
rnacentral:rRNA from 1 species